GACGAACCGUACGAACGUUAUUCGGAAUCACUGGGCUUAAAGGGUGCGUAGGCGGCGCAGCAAGUAGGGUGUGAAAUCCCUCGGCUCAACCGAGGAACUGCGCUCUAAACUACUGUGCUCGAGGGAGAUAGAGGUGAGCGGAACUUAGGGUGGAGCGGUGAAAUGCGUUGAUAUCCUAAGGAACACCGGUGGCGAACGCGGCUCACUGGAUCUCUUCUGACGCUGAGGCACGAAAGCUAGGGUAGCAAACGGG
rnacentral:rRNA from 1 species